CGCGUAGGCGGUCUGGUCAGUCGGAUGUGAAAGCCCCGGGCUCAACCUGGGAAUUGCAUUCGAUACUGCCCGACUAGAAUAUGGAAGAGGGAAGUGGAAUUUCCGGUGUAGCGGUGAAAUGCGUAGAGAUCGGAAGGAACACCAGUGGCGAAGGCGGCUUCCUGGUCCAAUAUUGACGCUGUGGUGCGAAAGCGUGGGGAGCGAACAGGAUUAGAUACCCUGGUAGUCC
rnacentral:rRNA from 1 species